rnacentral:rRNA from 1 species
AUUGAACGCUGGCGGCAGGCCUAACACAAGCAAGUCGAACGAGUGGCGGACGGGUGAGUAAUGUCAGGGAAACUGCCUGAUGGAGGGGGAUAACUACUGGAAACGGUAGCUAAUACCGCAUACCAUCGGAUGUGCCCAGAUGGGAUUAGCUAGUAGGUGGGGUAAAGGCUCACCUAGGCGUCGAUCCCUAGCUGGUCUGAGAGGAUGACCAGCCACACUGUAACUGAGACACGGUCCCGACUCCUACGUGAGGCAGGAGUGGGGAAUAUUGCACAAGGGGCGCAAGCCUGAUGCAGCCAUGCCGCGUGUAUGAUGCAGGCCUUCGGGGUGUAAAGUACUUUCAGCAGAGAGGCGUGACUCGCAGAAGAAGCCCCGGCUAACACAGUGCCAGCAGCCGCGGUAAUAC